CAGUAGCCGCGGGAAUACAGAGGAUGCAAGCGUUAUCCGGAAUGAUUGGGCGUAAAGCGUCUGUAGGUGGCUUUUCAAGUCCGCCGUCAAAUCCCAGGGCUCAACCCUGGACAGGCGGUGGAAACUACCAAGCUAGAGUACGGUAGGGGCAGAGGGAAUUUCCGGUGGAGCGGUGAAAUGCGUUGAGAUCGAAAAGAACACCAACGACGAAAGCACUCUGCUGGGUCGACACUGACACUGAGAGACGAAAGCUAGGGGAGCAAAUGGGAUUAGAUACCCCAGUAGUCCCUGUCUCUUAUAC
rnacentral:rRNA from 1 species